AUGGCCCCAAGUCAGGCGAGGCCCACCGCCGAG
rnacentral:rRNA from 1 species